rnacentral:lncRNA from 1 species
UUCUCCCCAGAGGUUCAGCCCUCUGAAGGGAUGGGAGGCGAGGCUUCUCCCCAGAGGGGCUGAAAACUGAGCAGGGCCAGCUAGCUAAUGUUUACUGUCGCCCUUCACGCAGAUGGACAGCUAGCUCUGCUGGUUUAGCUACCAGCUAGCUAUGUUACUGGUCCUUCACGCAAAGAUGGAACAGCUAGCGUCUGCUGGUUAGCUACCAGCUAGCUAAUGUUGCUAUCCCCUUCACUCAGACCGGCGCUAGCUCUGC